CGGGGAUGUUCUCCCAGUCUUUGGAGCUGAACAGACCACAGCAGUGAAACUACAAACAGCAGCAGGAGAAGAAAGAAAGAGGAGGGUUACUCAUCUCCAGGAGGAUGAGACAACAGCUUGUAGCAGACUAUAAAAACGUCCUGUCCUUACCUGAGGAUAAGAGCUGGCAGCAGGGAUUCCAGUCAUCAGCAUCAGCAGACAUCCAGUGAACAUGAACACUAGGAACUGCAGAGAGGCUCCCAGCACAGCGAUCAUCAUGGUGAUGACACCAACAAUGUGGAGAAUGAAGAGUUGGGUGGUGCGACCCUCCAGCUGUGGACAGAAGUGUCAUAAAAAG